rnacentral:rRNA from 1 species
UACGUAGGGGGCAAGCGUUGUCCGGAAUCAUUGGGCGUAAAGCGCGUGUAGGUGGUUCGAUAAGUCUGCUGUGAAAGUCGGGGGCUCAACCCUCGAAAGCCGGUGGAUACUGUCGGGCUAGAGUGCGGAAGAGGCGAGUGGAAUUCCCGGUGUAGCGGUGAAAUGCGCAGAUAUCGGGAGGAACACCAAUGGCGAAGGCAGCUCGCUGGGACGGUACUGACGCUGAGACGCGAAAGCGUGGGGAGCAAACAGG